GAUGAACGCUGGCGGCAUGCCUAACACAUGCAAGUCGAUCGGAAAGGCUCUUCGCUUUCCCCGAGGGGCGGACGGCCGAGUCACUCGUAGGAACACACACUGCCGAGCGGGAUAAGUCACCGAACGGCGUGCUAAUACCGCAUACGGCCGUCGGAUUAAAGCAUUUAUGCGCUGAAGGAGUGGACUGAGUCAUAUUAGAUAGUUGGUGAGGUAAUGCCACACAAAGUCGAUGAUGUGUAGCUGGUCUGAGAGGAUGAGCAGCCAGACUGGAACGGGGACACGGUCCAGACUCCUACGGGAUGCAGCAGUGACUAAUAUUUCACAACCACCGGAAGCAUGAAGGAGCAAGGACCCGUGCAGGAUGUAGGCCCUCGGGUUGUAAUGUGUAUUUAUAUGUGCAGAUCAUGACGGUAACUAAUGAAUAAGCGACGGCUAACUACGUG
rnacentral:rRNA from 1 species